UACGUAGGGGGCAAGCGUUGUCCGGAUUUAUUGGGCGUAAAGAGCGUGUAGGCGGCCAGGUAGGUGGGUUGUGAAAACUGGAGGCUCAACCUUCAGACGUUGACCCAAACCCCCUGGCUAGAGUCCGGAAGAGGAGAGUGGAAUUCCUGGUGUAGCGGUGAAAUGCGCAGAUAUCAGGAAGAACACCCGUGGCGAAAGCGGCUCUCUGGAACGGUACUGACGCUGAGACGCGAAAGCGUGGGGAGCGAACAGG
rnacentral:rRNA from 1 species